GACGAACGCUGGCGGCGUGCUUAACACAUGCAAGUCGAACGGAAAGGCCCUGCUUUUGUGGGGUGCUCGAGUGGCGAACGGGUGAGUAACACGUGAGUAACCUGCCCUUGACUUUGGGAUAACUUCAGGAAACUGGGGCUAAUACCGGAUAGGAGCUCCUGCUGCAUGGUGGGGGUUGGAAAGUUUCGGCGGUUGGGGAUGGACUCGCGGCUUAUCAGCUUGUUGGUGGGGUAGUGGCUUACCAAGGCUUUGACGGGUAGCCGGCCCGAGAGGGUGACCGGCCACAUUGGGACUGAGAUACGGCCCAGACUCCUACGGGAGGCAGCAGUGGGGAAUAUUGCACAAUGGGCGAAAGCCUGAUGCAGCAACGCCGCGUGCGGGAUGACGGCCUUCGGGUUGUAAACCGCUUUCGCCUGUGACGAAGCGUGAGUGACGGUAAUGGGUAAAGAAGCACCGGCUAACUACGU
rnacentral:rRNA from 1 species